rnacentral:rRNA from 1 species
GGUUAAGCGACUAAGCGUACACGGUGGAUGCCCUGGCAGUCAGAGGCGAUGAAGGACGUGCUAAUCUGCGAUAAGCGUCGGUAAGGUGAUAUGAACCGUUAUAACCGGCGAUUUCCGAAUGGGGAAACCCAGUGUGUUUCGACACACUAUCAUUAACUGAAUCCAUAGGUUAAUGAGGCGAACCGGGGGAACUGAAACAUCUAAGUACCCCGAGGAAAAGAAAUCAACCGAGAUUCCCCCAGUAGCGGCGAGCGAACGGGGAGCAGCCCAGAGCCUGAAUCAGUGUGUGUGUUAGUGGAAGCGUCUGGAAAGGCGCGCGAUACAGGGUGACAGCCCCGUACACAAAAAUGCACAUGCUGUGAGCUCGAUGAGUAGGGCGGGACACGUGGUAUCCUGUCUGAAUAUGGGGGGACCAUCCUCCAAGGCUAAAUACUCCUGACUGACCGAUAGUGAACCAGUACCGUGAGGGAAAGGCGAAAAGAACCCCGGCGAGGGGAGUGAAAAAGAACCUGAAACCGUGUACGUACAAGCAGUGGGAGCACGCUUAGGCGUGUGACUGCGUACCUUUUGUAUAAUGGGUCAGCGACUUAUAUUCUGUAGCAAGGUUAACCGAAUAGGGGAGCCGAAGGGAAACCGAGUCUUAACUGGGCGUUAAGUUGCAGGGUAUAGACCCGAAACCCGGUGAUCUAGCCAUGGGCAGGUUGAAGGUUGGGUAACACUAACUGGAGGACCGAACCGACUAAUGUUGAAAAAUUAGCGGAUGACUUGUGGCUGGGGGUGAAAGGCCAAUCAAACCGGGAGAUAGCUGGUUCUCCCGAAAGCUAUUUAGGUAGCGCCUCGUGAAUUCAUCUCCGGGGGUAGAGCACUGUUUCGGCAAGGGGGUCAUCCCGACUUACCAACCCGAUGCAAACUGCGAAUACCGGAGAAUGUUAUCACGGGAGACACACGGCGGGUGCUAACGUCCGUCGUGAAGAGGGAAACAACCCAGACCGCCAGCUAAGGUCCCAAAGUCAUGGUUAAGUGGGAAACGAUGUGGGAAGGCCCAGACAGCCAGGAUGUUGGCUUAGAAGCAGCCAUCAUUUAAAGAAAGCGUAAUAGCUCACUGGUCGAGUCGGCCUGCGCGGAAGAUGUAACGGGGCUAAACCAUGCACCGAAGCUGCGGCAGCGACGCUUAUGCGUUGUUGGGUAGGGGAGCGUUCUGUAAGCCUGUGAAGGUGUGCUGUGAGGCAUGCUGGAGGUAUCAGAAGUGCGAAUGCUGACAUAAGUAACGAUAAAGCGGGUGAAAAGCCCGCUCGCCGGAAGACCAAGGGUUCCUGUCCAACGUUAAUCGGGGCAGGGUGAGUCGACCCCUAAGGCGAGGCCGAAAGGCGUAGUCGAUGGGAAACAGGUUAAUAUUCCUGUACUUGGUGUUACUGCGAAGGGGGGACGGAGAAGGCUAUGUUGGCCGGGCGACGGUUGUCCCGGUUUAAGCGUGUAGGCUGGUUUUCCAGGCAAAUCCGGAAAAUCAAGGCUGAGGCGUGAUGACGAGGCACUACGGUGCUGAAGCAACAAAUGCCCUGCUUCCAGGAAAAGCCUCUAAGCAUCAGGUAACAUCAAAUCGUACCCCAAACCGACACAGGUGGUCAGGUAGAGAAUACCAAGGCGCUUGAGAGAACUCGGGUGAAGGAACUAGGCAAAAUGGUGCCGUAACUUCGGGAGAAGGCACGCUGAUAUGUAGGUGAAGUCCCUCGCGGAUGGAGCUGAAAUCAGUCGAAGAUACCAGCUGGCUGCAACUGUUUAUUAAAAACACAGCACUGUGCAAACACGAAAGUGGACGUAUACGGUGUGACGCCUGCCCGGUGCCGGAAGGUUAAUUGAUGGGGUCAGCGCAAGCGAAGCUCUUGAUCGAAGCCCCGGUAAACGGCGGCCGUAACUAUAACGGUCCUAAGGUAGCGAAAUUCCUUGUCGGGUAAGUUCCGACCUGCACGAAUGGCGUAAUGAUGGCCAGGCUGUCUCCACCCGAGACUCAGUGAAAUUGAACUCGCUGUGAAGAUGCAGUGUACCCGCGGCAAGACGGAAAGACCCCGUGAACCUUUACUAUAGCUUGACACUGAACAUUGAGCCUUGAUGUGUAGGAUAGGUGGGAGGCUUAGAAGUGUGGACGCCAGUCUGCAUGGAGCCGACCUUGAAAUACCACCCUUUAAUGUUUGAUGUUCUAACGUUGACCCGUAAUCCGGGUUGCGGACAGUGUCUGGUGGGUAGUUUGACUGGGGCGGUCUCCUCCUAAAGAGUAACGGAGGAGCACGAAGGUUGGCUAAUCCUGGUCGGACAUCAGGAGGUUAGUGCAAUGGCAUAAGCCAGCUUGACUGCGAGCGUGACGGCGCGAGCAGGUGCGAAAGCAGGUCAUAGUGAUCCGGUGGUUCUGAAUGGAAGGGCCAUCGCUCAACGGAUAAAAGGUACUCCGGGGAUAACAGGCUGAUACCGCCCAAGAGUUCAUAUCGACGGCGGUGUUUGGCACCUCGAUGUCGGCUCAUCACAUCCUGGGGCUGAAGUAGGUCCCAAGGGUAUGGCUGUUCGCCAUUUAAAGUGGUACGCGAGCUGGGUUUAGAACGUCGUGAGACAGUUCGGUCCCUAUCUGCCGUGGGCGCUGGAGAACUGAGGGGGGCUGCUCCUAGUACGAGAGGACCGGAGUGGACGCAUCACUGGUGUUCGGGUUGUCAUGCCAAUGGCACUGCCCGGUAGCUAAAUGCGGAAGAGAUAAGUGCUGAAAGCAUCUAAGCACGAAACUUGCCCCGAGAUGAGUUCUCCCUGACUCCUUGAGAGUCCUGAAGGAACGUUGAAGACGACGACGUUGAUAGGCCGGGUGUGUAAGCGCAGCGAUGCGUUGAGCUAACCGGUACUAAUGAACCGUGAGGCUUAACCUU